rnacentral:rRNA from 1 species
GACGAACGCUGGCGGCGUGCUUAACACAUGCAAGUCGAACGGAAAGGCCCUGCUUUUGUGGGGUGCUCGAGUGGCGAACGGGUGAGUAACACGUGAGUAACCUGCCCUUGACUUUGGGAUAACUUCAGGAAACUGGGGCUAAUACCGGAUAGGAGCUCCUGCUGCAUGGUGGGGGUUGGAAAGUUUCGGCGGUUGGGGAUGGACUCGCGGCUUAUCAGCUUGUUGGUGGGGUAGUGGCUUACCAAGGCUUUGACGGGUAGCCGGCCUGAGAGGGUGACCGGCCACAUUGGGACUGAGAUACGGCCCAGACUCCUACGGGAGGCAGCAGUGGGGAAUAUUGCACAAUGGGCGGAAGCCCGAUGCAGCAACGCCGCGUGCGGGAUGACGGCCUUCGGGUUGUAAACCGCUUUCGCCUGUGACGAAGCGUGAGUGACGGUAAUGGGUAAAGAAGCACCGGCUAACUACGUGCCAGCAGCCGCGGUGAUACGUAGGGUGCGAGCGUUGUCCGGAUUUAUUGGGCGUAAAGGGCUCGUAGGUGGUUGAUCGCGUCGGAAGUGUAAUCUUGGGGCUUAACCCUGAGCGUGCUUUCGAUACGGGUUGACUUGAGGAAGGUAGGGGAGAAUGGAAUUCCUGGUGGAGCGGUGGAAUGCGCAGAUAUCAGGAGGAACACCAGUGGCGAAGGCGGUUCUCUGGGCCUUUCCUGACGCUGAGGAGCGAAAGCGUGGGGAGCGAACAGGCUUAGAUACCCUGGUAGUCCACGCUGUAAACGGUGGGUACUAGGUGUGGGGUCCAUUCCACGGGUUCCGUGCCGUAGCUAACGCUUUAAGUACCCCGCCUGGGGAGUACGGCCGCAAGGCUAAAACUCAAGGGAAUUGACGGGGCCCCGCACAAGCGGCGGAGCAUGCGGAUUAAUUCGAUGCAACGCGUAGAACCUUACCUGGGUUUGACAUGGAUCGGGAGUGCUCAGAGAUGGGUGUGCCUCUUUUGGGGUCGGUUCACAGGUGGUGCAUGGCUGUCGUCAGCUCGUGUCGUGAGAUGUUGGGUUAAGUCCCGCAACGAGCGCAACCCUUGUUCACUGUUGCCAGCACGUUAUGGUGGGGACUCAGUGGAGACCGCCGGGGUCAACUCGGAGGAAGGUGGGGAUGACGUCAAGUCAUCAUGCCCCUUAUGUCCAGGGCUUCACGCAUGCUACAAUGGCUGGUACAGAGAGUGGCGAGCCUGUGAGGGUGAGCGAAUCUCGGAAAGCCGGUCUCAGUUCGGAUUGGGGUCUGCAACUCGACCUCAUGAAGUCGGAGUCGCUAGUAAUCGCAGAUCAGCAACGCUGCGGUGAAUACGUUCCCGGG